UACGGAGGGUGCAAGCGUUAAUCGGAAUUACUGGGCGUAAAGCGUGCGUAGGCGGUUCGUUAAGUCUGUUGUGAAAGCCCCGGGCUCAACCUGGGAAUGGCAAUGGAUACUGGCGAGCUAGAGUGUGUCAGAGGAUGGUGGAAUUCCCGGUGUAGCGGUGAAAUGCGUAGAGAAUCGGGAGGAACAUCAGUGGCGAAGGCGGCCAUCUGGGACAACACUGACGCUGAGGCACGAAGCGUGGGAG
rnacentral:rRNA from 1 species